CCAGCCCCGCGUGCAGCUCGCACCCCUUCCCACGCCUGUUCGGGGGAGAGCCCCGGGCCUGGAGUGGGAAGCCUGGCUCCAGCUCUGGUUACCUGCAGUGACUCCCCAGGCCGUUUAGGCGAGUCCAUUGGGCCGCCUCUGCCUCGGUUUCCCCACCUAACCACGGAAGGUGCUCCUCCCUUCCAGGCAUCUGUGGUCUUCGAGCUCCACGCGGGAGAGGCGCCGGUCUGGCACCUCCUGCCCAGGGUCGGCGCCUCCUGGCUCUCGGGGAGGGGGGCAUCCUCCAUCCCCUGCACCUGCCUCGAGAGGAACCAGGGACAGAGCACCCCCACCCCCACCAGGAGCUCCGGAAAAACGGCUUCAGAAGAGCAAAUAUACACACACACCCACCUCCCGCCCCAAACAUCCCCGAAGAAAGGUAACCACAGAAACAGCCAGAAAUGUGGAGCUGGGCGAUCGUAUGAGGCUGAGACAAAACUGUCUUUCUAGCGUCUCUAGGGGAGAGCUUGAAUCCCUCCUUCCACUCCUCCUCCACGGAAAACAGAGUGAACUCCUGCUACAGAGGCCGCCAGAGCAACAUGCAAGACCAGCUUUGAGGGGAGCGGGCACAGGGCCUUGCAGGGAAGGUGGGCCGAGCCCAGACCCCUCAUUCUUACUUGGCUCUGAAGGCGGAAAGGCAAAGCUAGACCUCGAGGAAGUUCCCCUCCCUGUGGGCCCUACAGUGAAGAUUACAUGAAGGCAUGUGGGCGGUGGACCAGAGUGCACCGACUGAUGAAGGCGGCCCGGUACCCGCGGGUGCCAUGCCUCCUUCUUAGCCAAGGCCACUCUAGCUCCCCGUGAAGUAUCCAGGUAGAAGGCUGGUGGGGUUACAGGUGAGAAGCCGUCGGUGGGGUCCAGGAGCCAGGCCUGGGGAAGCACACGUCACUUCCACCCACAUCCAUGGGCCAGAAGUAGUCGCACAGUCCCACCAGGAUGCAAGGGGCUCUGGCAGCUGUGGUCUUCAUGAGUGUUUCGGAAGUAAACAAAGCCGGUUUGAUGAACACGUAGAAACAUCCCUGCCACAGAAACUGAGCAGAUUUCUCCCAAGCACACACAGGGCAAAGGGGCAAAGUCUGUCCACAGACUCACAGGAAGGGAGGUGCAUGGCAGACACAGGCAGGAGGUGGGGUUGGGGUGGAAAAGUUCAGGGAGGGCUCAAAAGCAGACCAAGGCCUGUUUCUGAAACCCAGCCCACUCACUGGUUCCUCCACACUUGGCCCAUGCUGUUCCUCUCCCAUGUGACUUUUCCAUCUUCCCCCUCCAACCUGUCACCCAUCCAUCCUUCAAAACUUAGGUCAGUUAGCUCUCACCUAGCCCUCAGCAGCUUAGCCCGCAGAUGCUUCCUCUGUUUCUGAACUUCUAGAGAAACACACUUAACCGCAGACCUCUUAUUCCAGGAGUGUAUCUCUCUCAGAUGAGAUACAAGUUGGUCCCUUCCCUUGCGUCCCUCCUGUUCCUUCAAGAGGAGGACUGUCUACCCACCCCGAAGCUUCAUGGAGAGAGAGCACACCGUCGUUAUUCAAUAUGUAGUUUUGAAUUUAACUAGAGCAAAGAAGAAAGCAAAUUCAGGUGGAAGGAAGAAGAAAAGGGAAAAGGGCUGUCCCCAUCCUUCUAAGGAGAUGGUGCAGUGGCUCACCUUUGGGA
rnacentral:lncRNA from 1 species